GUUAGAAAGGUGGAAUCAGAGAUUAAAGACCAUGUUGAGGGCUUAUAGUCAAGACUAACCAGAUGAUUGGGUUAACGGAAUCCCGUCUGUGCUUUUUGCCAGAGAUGCACCAAAGGACUCGACCAAAUUCAGUCCCUUUGAAUUAGUUUUUGAGCAUGAAACAAGAGGACUGUUAAAAUUGAUUAAAGACAAAUAGCCAAGGAUCUAGCACGAUACAGUAUGUUCUGAUAAAACACGAUAGUUCUAUUUCCAAGCGAUCCCACAUUAUAAGAAAAUCCUGCAAUUGCAGCACCAAUUAAACCAAUGGGACUGAAAUCACAUUAUAGCCAAUACAGAUGCUGCUAGACUUGCUGCAAUUUCUGUUUUUGUUUGCAGUCACUCCCACCUCUGGAAUUCAGCUUAGUUCAUGUUUGAUCGAGUGCUGUGAUAGUGACCACUCAAUUCCUGGCCCUAUGACCUAACAUUUACCCCAUGUUCAUUCUUACUGAGUUCGUAGACAAACUAUAGUCAAAUACCCCACAGAUCUCAUUAAAAGCAGAUGCAAUCAUGACUGAUUCAAUGGAUUUCUCAAGUUCUCAGAUAUUAGUGACACUAUGGCUCAACAAAAUCUAU